rnacentral:rRNA from 1 species
AUUGAACGCUGGCGGCAGGCUUAACACAUGCAAGUCGAGCGGAGAUGAGGUGCUUGCACCUUAUCUUAGCGGCGGACGGGUGAGUAAUGCUUAGGAAUCUGCCUAUUAGUGGGGGACAACAUUCCGAAAGGAAUGCUAAUACCGCAUACGUCCUACGGGAGAAAGCAGGGGAUCUUCGGACCUUGCGCUAAUAGAUGAGCCUAAGUCGGAUUAGCUAGUUGGUGGGGUAAAGGCCUACCAAGGCGACGAUCUGUAGCGGGUCUGAGAGGAUGAUCCGCCACACUGGGACUGGAACACGGCCCAGACUCCUACGGGAGGCAGCAGUGGGGAAUAUUGGACAAUGGGGGAAACCCUGAUCCAGCCAUGCCGCGUGUGUGAAGAAGGCCUUAUGGUUGUAAAGCACUUUAAGCGAGGAGGAGGCUACUGAGACUAAUACUCUUGGAUAGUGGACGUUACUCGCAGAAUAAGCACCGGCGAACUCUGUGCCAGCCGCCGCCGUAAGAC